rnacentral:rRNA from 1 species
AUUGAACGCUGGCGGCAUGCCUUACACAUGCAAGUCGAACGGCAGCACGGGUGCUUGCACCUGGUGGCGAGUGGCGAACGGGUGAGUAAUACAUCGGAACGUACCUUAUCGUGGGGGAUAACGCAGCGAAAGCUGUGCUAAUACCGCAUACGCCCUGAGGGGGAAAGCGGGGGAUCGAAAGACCUCGCGCGAUUAGAGCGGCCGAUGCCUGAUUAGCUUGUUGGUGGGGUAAAAGCCCACCAAGGCGACGAUCAGUAGCUGGUCUGAGAGGACGAUCAGCCACACUGGGACUGAGACACGGCCCAGACUCCUACGGGAGGCAGCAGUGGGGAAUUUUGGACAAUGGGGCAACCCUGAUCCAGCAAUGCCGCGUGAGUGAAGAAGGCCUUCGGGUUGUAAAGCUCUUUUGUCAGGGAAGAAACACCGGCUCUAACACAGUCCGGGAAUGACGGUACCUGAAGAAUAAGCACCGGCUAACUACGUGCCAGCAGCCGCCGUAA